AGAAGCUUGCUUCUCUUGAGAGCGGCGGACGGGUGAGUAAUGCCUAGGAAUCUGCCUGGUAGUGGGGGAUAACGUUCGGAAACGGACGCUAAUACCGCAUACGUCCUACGGGAGAAAGCAGGGGACCUUCGGGCCUUGCGCUAUCAGAUGAGCCUAGGUCGGAUUAGCUAGUUGGUGAGGUAAUGGCUCACCAAGGCGACGAUCCGUAACUGGUCUGAGAGGAUGAUCAGUCACACUGGAACUGAGACACGGUCCAGACUCCUACGGGAGGCAGCAGUGGGGAAUAUUGGACAAUGGGCGAAAGCCUGAUCCAGCCAUGCCGCGUGUGUGAAGAAGGUCUUCGGAUUGUAAAGCACUUUAAGUUGGGAGGAAGGGCAGUUACCUAAUACGUGAUUGUUUUGACGUUACCGACAGAAUAAGCACCGGCUAACUCUGUGCCAGCAGCCGCGGUAAUACAGAGGGUGCAAGCGUUAAUCGGAAUUACUGGGCGUAAAGCGCGCGUAGGUGGUUAGUUAAGUUGGAUGUGAAAUCCCCGGGCUCAACCUGGGAACUGCAUUCAAAACUGACUGACUAGAGUAUGGUAGAGGGUGGUGGAAUUUCCUGUGUAGCGCUGAAAUGCGUAGAUAUAUGAAUGAACACCAGUGGCGAAGGGGACCACCUGUACUGAUACUCACACUGAGGUGCGAAAUCAUGUGGAGCAAACAGGAUGAGAUACCCCCCUCCUCCACGCGGUAUCCUAUGUAAAUUAGCCCUUGUGAGCCUUCAUCUCGUUAUUGCCCCACCUCACCCAAUAAAUUGACCUC
rnacentral:rRNA from 1 species